UUUCCGUAGGUGAACCUGCGGAAGGAUCAUUAAAGAGAAUAUGCCCUUCGGGGUAGAUCUCCCACCCUUUGUUUAUAUUACCUUUGUUGCUUUGGCAGGCCCGUCUUCGGACCACCGGCUUCGGCUGGUCAGUGCUGGCCAGAGGACCCAAAACUCUUAUUUUUAAUGUCGUCUGAGUACUAUAUAAUAGUUAAAACUUUCAACAAAGGAUCUCUUGGUUCUG
rnacentral:misc_RNA from 1 species